rnacentral:rRNA from 1 species
ACUCCUACGGGAGGCAGCAGUGGGGAAUAUUGCACAAUGGGCGAAAGCCUGAUGCAGCAACGCCGCGUGAGGACGACGGCCUUCGGGUUGUAAACCUCUUUUAGUAGGGAAGAAGGGAGUGACGGUACCUGCAGAAAAAGCACCGGCUAACUACGUGCCAGCAGCCGCGGUAAUACGUAGGGUGCAAGCGUUGUCCGGAAUUAUUGGGCGUAAAGAGCUCGUAGGCGGUUUGUCGCGUCUGCUGUGAAAUCCCGAGGCUCAACCUCGGGUCUGCAGUGGGUACGGGCAGACUAGAGUGCGGUAGGGGAGAUUGGAAUUCCUGGUGUAGCGGUGGAAUGCGCAGAUAUCAGGAGGAACACCGAUGGCGAAGGCAGAUCUCUGGGCCGUAACUGACGCUGAGGAGCGAAAGCAUGGGGAGCGAACAGGAUUAGAUACCCUGGUAGUCCAUGCCGUAAACGUUGGGAACUAGAUGUAGGGACCAUUCCACGGUUUCUGUGUCGCAGCUAACGCAUUAAGUUCCCCGCCUGGGGAGUACGGCCGCAAGGCUAAAACUCAAAGGAAUUGACGGGGGCCCGCACAAGCGGCGGAGCAUGCGGAUUAAUUCGAUGCAACGCGAAGAACCUUACCAAGGCUUGACAUAUACCGGAAACGGCCAGAGAUGGUCGCCCCGCAAGGUCGGUAUACAGGUGGUGCAUGGUUGUCGUCAGCUCGUGUCGUGAGAUGUUGGGUUAAGUCCCGCAACGAGCGCAACCCUCGUUCUAUGUUGCCAGCACGUUAUGGUGGGAACUCAUAGGAGACUGCCGGGGUCAACUCGG